GGGGUACUAAAUUAGGACGUAGUGGGUUUCGUGGAUUGGAGCAAAUCAUGAGAAGAAUUAUUGCUUAGUGUGAAUACAAAGUGAAUACUUUUCAUUAGAAGUCCCGGAGAGUUGGCAAGAGUUAAGCCAAGUGAUUCAACGAUGCUAAAAGAUAGAGUGAAUACUUUGUUGGGAAAAUUAUCCAAUAUCGAUGAGAUGAAGAUGGUAUUAGACA
rnacentral:lncRNA from 1 species